ensembl:lncRNA
GAGAGCUGCAGGAAGUAACAAGCAGGAUAGGAAUUUAUCUAUUCCUGGCAAUUGCUGCUCCCAAUUGAGCAUCCUAAACCAGAGCUCUGGAUUUCUACUUCUUAUUAUUCCUGUUCCCCCUCCUCCAAGUGGAAGUGUUGCUAUCUGGGAGUGGUGUCUGGUAUGCGGGUGCUCAGGAUGACCGUCAGAUCUGUACGUGAAUCCUACCCCUGACUCAUGCUCUGUGACUCACCUGAGUCUAUGGAUAAGAAUUAAAGGAUCAUUUAUGCUAGUUCUUCCCGAGAGCCAUGUGGUGGAUAGUCCUGGACACCUGGCAUCUCUUAUGCCUCAGUUCUUCAACCACAUCCAGAGGAGUCCAAAUGAAUGAAAGUAUCUGAGAGCAGCUGCUCAGAAGAGGAAGGGCAUCAUGCUGAUCCCGACUGUGUCAAUUUGGGCAUCCUUUUCUGCCACUUCAACUUUCAAAAUCAAAUUGUUAUAAUCAAGAUGCAGAACAAGGAUCCAACGAGGGGCCAGCCAAGCUUAAUCUGCAGUUUUUCUUCCUUCUGUAUUUUUACAAAAAAUAAAUAAAAAGGAAGAAAAAUAAAUGAUUUUUUUUUCUAUUCCUUUUUCUCUUUCUUUCUAGCUUAAACAGCAAAACAGAAGACACAAGUUGACAUGUUUAAGUUGAUCAUGAUGAAUCUGAGGAUAAGUUGCUAUGCUCUGUUCUCUGAUAAAC